rnacentral:lncRNA from 1 species
GGGUGGUAGGCCAAGUCACACCAUCAACCAUAUCCUGAAUUGUACCUGCAAAAAUUAUGCCACAAGCAAGGCUGAGUAUACUAAUACUCAGCUAGACUUACCCGGUGUGAGGAAUCUACUCCUCUACCUCUAGACUAUGCAGUUGUUUGGCUGAGGGGUUUGGUUUGCCAAGAGCACUAGCUGUUUCUAAAAUCAAUUCUUAGCUUUUCAAAUUCUAGUAUUAUUAUUUUAGCUACGUUUGCUCCUUCUAAACAUACAUGGUAACAAGCAUUUAGUUCAAUCAACAAAUUGUCUCAUGUAACCUCAUUUCACUUCUUACUCGAUGUAGUACAAGGGGUCAAGCAGUCUUAUUAGCUGCGAGAAGCAGACGAUUCGAAUCGAGUUUUAUCCUUGCAAGGUAAACCUAAACACACGACAUGUCAGGGCACUCCGUCCCCACACAUGUCAAUCGUCCCCAUCGAUUCCCCGUUCGCGUCCAGGCCUCACCGCCUUGGCAUACAAUGCUCCACUGACCCUGGCUGCCGCCGUGCAGUGACCGCACUUGUACCCACCAUAGCUAGCAUGGGUGACCCAGUCUCAGGUCGCGUGAGGGAUAAAGUCCGCGCCCGGCUUCACUCAGGUACUAGGUUUACCGGUUACCAUAUUUCCAGACAUGUGCUUAGUACGUUCAAAAGCUUGACUCAGGUAUCCACACAUUAAUCCUUAAUUCCGUUUUCCCGUCUCAUGGUCAAGGCAUCCUCCCUGGAUCCAAGUCCAUAGACUAACAUAGAUCCCGUUAUCAAGAUGAAUACAAUCAAUUCCUCACCUCACGCGAGUGCUAGAAAAAUCACUCGACUUCUACCGAGAUCCUGAUUAGCAAAGCAGCUACUCGACCUAGCAUACUAGUAUUCAUCUCAAAAAGGAAUCCUAAGUUCAUGCAACUAGAGGUUUCAAGCAACUCCUACACUUAAGUGCACAUUACAACCCUACAGACAUUAAGUGUAGUAAAGUAGCAUAUAAUAAUACGGUUAUUGUAAUACCCAAAAAUGUAAAUAGUGAAAAUAGAGAAGAGCUCAAGAUUUUUUGUGAUCUAUACUUAUCAUCACAUGUGAACACCUCAUUUAAAAAUAAAUAAUUAAUACAAAGACACAUCACUAAAUUGUGCAUUAUGUUGGCUUUUAAUUGUUUGUGCACUCAAUAAUAGUCACAACAACAUGAAUAAAAUAAUAAACAAAUUAUAAAUAUAAAGACUAACUUGAAUAUUUGAAAAGGAGAAAUAAUCAAAAGGAAAGAAAGAAAGAAAAGGAGUAUACAAAUAUAAAUGAAAAUAAAUAUAUUUCUAAAACUGGUAUUUUUUUUGUGAUCUGUGAGAUCUGAAAACCAAAUUCUAAUUCAAAUAGUAGGUUUGAAUUUAGUAAAGGAAAUUCAAAAUAAAACCAACUGGAAAAUGAAAAAAGGCUAACCUAAAUGGGCCUGCGGCACUCCCAUUUAGCCCAGCUCCCCUUUUAUACCCGCGCGGUCCACUCAGCCGACCAGCGCGCCUGGCUAAACCCUAGCCGCCAGGCUUCUUGCCGCGCCAUCCACUCCCUGCUCUUCAUGACUGGUGUGUGGGCCCCGUUCGCCAGAUCGUAGUUGUGCGUGCCGCCAUGGCUGUUGCCGCAUCACGCGCACGUUGAAUCAUUGGCGACCACUGGAUUGUGGGGUCCGCUUCCCAGACUCUCGCAUGCCAAGUCGUUCUUCCUUCCCUGGAUGUUGCAUCUGGGCCAUUUUCCUCGCCGUUGUGGCCGCCUGUUGAUCAUCGUAGCCGUUCUCUCCCUGGCAUCUCGCGCCCUCAGCCCAGGUGUCCGCGCCUGACUCGAUCAUCGUCCCGGCGCGAUUCGCGGUCGAGCUCAACGAACUCCGCCAUGCGCGCAACCGACCGAACCAGGUGCCACCUGAUCUCCCUUCUCCGGCUGCAUAAACAUUGGACCACCUCCGCCUCUGUCGUGUGCUCGUCGUUCCGCGCUUCUCCCCUACCCAGUCCUACAUCCCUCCCCAUCUGCCAUCUUGGAAUCCCCCUGCUCCUACAUAAUCAUCAAGCCGUGACGUGCCGCCAGCGUGAACCACUCCAUCCCUGGCCAGUACCCACCUCGAGUCAAGCUUAACACUGCGUGACCACUCUUCCCUCUGGUGGUGACCGCGCGGACCGGUGCUCGCCGAGCUCCUGGAGGGACGUCUCGGCGUAGUACCACUCGCCAUCGUGGCCUGCAACCCUUCCGCGUCGUUGACAACCGGCUCGCCUUAAUCAUGGUACCUCCCUCUGUGCUUGCUUUGAGCUCUGCUUUGUAUAGCGCUGUUCCUGGGUGGAGUUCGACGACCGGACUGGGGAUUUGGGGUGGCGGCAAUGGGCAACGCCGCCGGGCGCUGUCGGGUGGAUGAAGGUGACACGGUGGCCUUCGAUCCUUAAUGGACAACUGUGAUUAAGUACCGCGUACAAGUUUGGUCAGAUUGUCUGGACACCGAUGGCGGGACUCCUGCGGUGGGUUGUGCCAUGGGCGCGUCCGCCUGUGCGGCGUAAGCCGGCCCCAACAAUGGCUUAUGGAGGAAGAAGCCGCUUGGCCGUGGGAUGGACAGUUCGCGGCCGAGAUCGAAUCGAUGAUACCCCUUUGUCUGAUAGAAUCUUAACCGUAGAUCUUGGAUCCGACGAUUAGGAAGGAGUGCAGGAUAUUAGCUAGCUCAAAUCUAAUCGGAUCCGUCCACCUCAGAUCGGGCGGGCCAGAUUCGAGGAUACCCCUUCGGGCUGCCCAGUUUUCAAAAGAGCCCUCGGUUUUCUCUCAAAUAAACCCGCAGUCCGUCCUGUGGUUGCCUGUGUCUUAGUGCAAAUUGCGCCAGGGCCCCUGUAUUUCCGUUUAUUAGUGCGCCCAGUCCAGAGAGUUAGAAAAAUCAGAAAACAAAUAUAGAAUUGGAUUUUUAAUGUAGAAAUAAAUGCUAGAAUUGGUUUAAUUCAUAGAAAAUUCAUAUGUAGUCCAAAUUUAUCCAUUUCAGUUUCUAUAAUUUUGUAAUAAUGUUGUUUAUCACCCUGUGUCUCUGUUUUAACAUGAAAAUGGUAUUAAAAUUUAUUUCUUAAUUAACCUCGUAUCAAAUACAUAAAACCUUAGGAAAUUCGUAUCUCCUCCGCUUUAACUCCGAUUUGAUCCGUUCAAAGUUGCAUUAGUCUCGUAGCUUUGUGUAGAUCAUUGUUAUACAUUUUGUUCUUAUGUUUGGUGUGAUGUUAAUUUUAUCUAUACCAUGUUUGUUUGUAUUGCUACGACUAGCACGAGGACACGUGUCAUCUGAAAAGCAAGUUGGUACUAGAAUCUCAAGUGCCAGGCAAGUUGUGCCCUUGAUUCACUUUGUUACCUAAUAAUGUUCUUUAUAAUCAUUUACCAUGCAUAGGUUUAAUUUUGAUGGGACCCAAUAGGUCACCCUAGAUUGUUUAUCCCAUUACCUUGUUUACCCCUGAAUCACAUGGGUAGUUUUUGCUAUUGCUUUAUAUGAUUUUGGGAUAAUCAUUUAUUAUAUCCAUGUUCCAGUUAUUAUGUUAUUUUAUUUAUGUUCAUGUCAAGAUCAUUAUAUUAUUGUUAAUUGGAACAUGGAGCUUAACUUGAGAAACACGUGCCACCACAAGGGUUUAAUGGGACGCCCUUGGCCAACUAACUAGGGAAGCUAGUGGAAGACUACCUUACCCGAAAGGGGCAAGGGCAGUAGGGGAGUGGUCAGUGUAGGGAGGUCCUUGGAUGAUUUUGCUGCGAUGGCGGUCAGACAAGAACCCCGCAUUGGAACUUCCUAUAAACUGUAGCGGGUUUUCGGAAGCUAGUGGAACUUUGUAAAGGCCUCGUAGUGGAUCUCUAGCCAUUCACCUCGGUAGUGUCUAAGGGCCUAGCUAACCCUGGCGACAUGGGAUACACGACUUGUGGGUAAAGGGUACAACCUCUGCAGAGUGUAAAACUGGUAUACUAGCGGAGCUCAUGGUCAUGAGCGGCUCAGGACUCUCCGAUGAUUAAACUAUGGAACCUAAAUUCAAUUUUGUCAUUUGCAUAUGCAUGGGUUUAUUAUUAAUUUUGUUCUAUUAUGUUAUUAUGGUUUGGUAUUCACUUACACUUAGUAACUGCUAAUAAAAUUUUGACCAACUUUAAAAGCAAUGCUCAGCUUUAACCUUUCCCUUUGGUAAGCCUUACACCUUACAUGAUCUCCCACCUUUGUGAGUUCAUGCCACAUUAUUCCCCACAACUUGUUGAGCGAUGAACAUGUGUGAGCUCACCCUUGCUGUCUCACACCCCCCACAGGAGAAGAACAGGUGGUUCAGGAGGAGCCUCAAAGCGAGGAGUUUGAUCUGAUCUAGGUGGCGUUUCUCAGUAGACAUUGGCGCCGACGAUCCUUAGUUCGUUUUAUAUUUAUUCUUUUAUUUUGUAAUAAGUCUUCCGCUAUGUAAUAAAUACUCUGAUGUUUUGUGACAUCUAUCUCUAUACACUCUGUUAUUAUAUGUGUUGUCUUUGGCGCAUGUAUGAGAUGCACCCGGCUUUGUUCCUUAAAGCCGGGUGUGACAGAAGUGGUAUCAAAGGAAAUGUUGACUGUAGGACGAGACCUAGAUAGAAAUGGACAAAACCCUUACCUACUUACCUUACUCUGAUUCAUUCUAUACUUAUCUUAUCUUGAUCCUGUCUCACCUUUUGCUGUCAUACUCUGAUUACUCUUAUCUUUUCUGCUCUAAGACAAGAUGGAUUUCACACCUUGGAAUCCCACAUUUAUGAACUUCUUAAGAGAUAGGAGACCUAAGACAAAAAUUAAAACUAUUUUCUCUAUUAAAAAAUGUUGGUUGAUUGUUCUGAUGAUAAAUGCUUGAUUUGCUUCUUUGAUUGAUUGAAACAUUAUAGUUGGGCAUCUUAGCAUGUACCACCAUAAGGUAAUGUAUUAGCUUUAGUGGAUAACACACUAAUCUACUUAGCUAAUAAAUCACCUGCAGUAACAUUUCUCGUAAUUACACGCCUUGUCUACAAUUCUUUCUUUCUUACCCUGAGUUUCUAACCCAGAUGGGCUACCCCUAUAGUGUUAGAAGAGAGCACUAUAGACGUGAUCCUUGGUAUGUUAUGGUUAAAAAUAAGGCAAAGGUAAUUUAUACACUAUGCUAAAGGAACCGUAGAACUCACCAGUUCCAAAGGACAAAGCUUUGAAGUUGAAGUUGCAGUAACUACCACCAUCAGACUAGCAGCAUUCUUAGUAGAUGGGAAGUUUGUUGGUGUCAACAUCCGUGUGGUUAGAGAUUUUUCGGAUGUCUUUCUAGAGGAGUUACCAGGGAUGCCACCAGAUAGGGAAGUUGAGUUUGUCAUGGAUCUCUUACCUGGGACUGCUCCUAUUUCUAAACGGCUAUACAGAAUGUCUGUAGAAGAACUAAAGGAACUUAAGAAGCAAUUAAUGGAAUUACAAGAGGCUAGGUACAUUCGUUCGGAUUCCUCACCUUGGGGGAGCGCCAGAUCUAUUUGUACAGAAGAAAGAUGGAUCGUAAGGGAUGUGCGUGGAUUAUAGGUCCCUUAAUGAUGUUACUGUGAAGAACAAGUAUCUGUUACCCCGCAUUGAAGAUUUAUUUGAUCAGAUGAGAGAUGCAAGGGUAUUCUCGAAGAUUGAACUCUGACCGGGUUAUCACCAAAUGAAGAUUUGGCCAUCGGAUAUUUCCAAGACAAUUUUAUCGACCCGAUAUGGUUUCAAUGUUAUGUCGUUUGGAUUAACCAAUGCACCAGCCUAUUUUAUGGAUCUGAAGAAUAAGGUGUUCAUGAUCUGGACAGAUUCGUCGUGGUUUUCAUCGAUGAUAUUCUUAUUUAUUCCAAGAGUGAUAGUGAUCAUGAGAAGCAUCUGAGAUUGGUGCUACAGAAGUUACGAGAUAAUCAACUCUAUGCCAAGUACAGCAAAUGCGAGUUCUGGAUUGACGAGGUGCCAUUUCUUGGACAUAUCAUUUUUAAUGGAGGAAUAUCAGUGGAUCCUGCUAAAAGUCAAGGAGAUAGUGGCAUGGAGCAUACCCACUAUAGUUACUGAGGUCCGGAGUUUCUUGGGAGUUGCCGGAUAUUAUUGGAGAUUUAUUGAAGGAUUUUCUAAGGUUGCUAAGCCUAUGACCUUGCUUUUGGAGAAAGGAAGAGAAUUCAAGUGGGAUGAGAAAUGCCAAGAGAGUUUUGAUCAAUUGAAAGAGAGAUUGAUGCCACCACCAGUAUUGAUUAUGCCAGAUCUACAGAAGGGAUUUGACAUUUAUUGUGAUGCAUGUGGCCAAGGAUUAGGAUGUGUACUUAUGCGAGAAGGACAUGUGAUUGCCUACGCGUCUCGUCAGUUACAGAAACAAGAAUUGAACCACCCCACUCAUGACUUAGAACUGGCAGCCGUUGUGCAUGCGCUUAAGAUUUGGAGACAUUAUAUUAUGGGAAGCAAGUGUCAAGUAUGCAUGGAUCAUAAGAGUUUGAAGUAUAUGUUCACUUAGAAGGAUCUCAACCUUAGGCAACGCCGUUGGUUGGAGCUUAUUAAGGAUUAUGAUUUGGAGAUUCACUAUCACCCGGGCAAAGAAAAUUUGGUUGCAGAUGCCUUGAGUCGAAAGGAGCAUGUUCAUUCAGUUGUUGUUGCCCAGCUACCCGAUGAGAUUGUUGAGGAUUUCAGGAGACUUAACCUGGGGAUAGUUGCUCACACUGAAGGAGUUACUAUUGAUGUGGAAUCUACUUUGGAACAAGAAAUCCACAAAGGACAAAUUGAUGAUGCUAAGAUACAAGAGAUCAAAGAUCUGAUUACUGAAGGUCGAGGUCCAGAAUUCACGGAUGAUGAGCAAAGCACAAUAUGGUUCAAGGAUCGGAUAUGAGCUCGUGAGAUUGAAAGCCUUCGUGAGACUAUACUGAGGGAAGCCCAUGACUUGGAUUAUUCUAUUCAUCAUGGGAGUACGAAGAUGUAUCAAGAUUUGAAGUAGAAGUUCUGGUUGUAUGGAUUGAAGAGAGAUGUGGCUGCACAUGUGGCUAUGUGCGAUGUGUGUCAAAGAGUUAAGGCUGAACACCAGAGACCAGCUGGACUACUGCAUCCACUGAAGAUACCCGAGUGGAAGUGGGGAGAGAUUGGUAUGAAUUUUAUUACUGGAUUGCCUCGUACCUCAAAAGGAUAUGAUUCUAUAUGGGUUAUUGUGGAUAGACUGGCCAAAGUGGCUCAUUUCAUUCCGGUCAAAGACUACUUAUAAGUGAUCUCAACUGGCAGAGUUAUAUAUGGAACGGAUUAUGUCUCUACACAGUGUACCAAAAAAAUCGAUUUGGAUAGAGGAUCACAGUUUACCCCCAGAUUUUGAAAAAGUUUUUAUGAGAAUAUGGAUGUGAAGUUGAAUUUAGUUCGGCCUACCUCAGACUGAUGGAUAGACUGAAAGGACUAAUCAAGUAUUGGAAGGCAUGUUGAGAGCUUGUGCCCUUCGGCAUGGUAGUAGUAGGGACAAGAGUCUACCUUAUGCUGAGUUCUUAUAUAAUAAUAGUUACCAGGCCAGUCUGAAGAUGUUACCGUUCGAGACUCUGUGUGGUAGGAAAUGCAGGACUCCUCUAUAUUGGGAUAAGACUAGAGGAAGACAGUUCUUUGGACCUAAACUUAUUCAAGAGGUAGAAGAACAAAUCCAUAUAAUUCGGGAGAAUUUGAGGGCAGCUCAGACCAGACAAAAGAGCUACGCUGAUAAUAGAAGACCACUGGAAUCUGAGGAUGGUGAUCAUGUGUACCUCAAGUGUCACCACUUCGUGGAAUGAGAAGAUUCAAAGUCAAGGGCAAAUUGUCCCCUCGCUUUAUUGGACCAGUCGGAGUUUUUAGGCAAGUUGGAGACAGGGCCUAUCAACUCGAGCUACCUAAUAAUCUAUCUGAUGUGCAUAAUGUGUUCCAUGUGUCACAACUUAAGAAGCGUCUCCGUGUUCCUGAGGAACAGCUACCAAUGGAAGAGCCCAGUGUUCAGAGUGAUUUGACUUACAUGGAGUACCCUGUCAAGAUUCUUGAUACAUUGACUCAAGUUACAAGGAAUAAAGUGAUAAAGAUGUGCAAAGUUCAAUGGAGUCACCACGGAGAAGACGAAGCUACAUGGGAAAGAGAAGAAGAGCUCCGCAUAGAUUUUCCCAUUGUUUUCCUAGUUCUUCCUAAAUCUCGAGGACGAGAUUCUUUUUAAGGGGGGUAGAAUUUGUAAUACCCAAAAAUGUAAAUAGUGAAAAUAGAGAAGAGCUCAAGAUUUUUUGUGAUCUAUACUUAUCAUCACAUGUGAACACCUCAUUUAAAAAUAAAUAAUUAAUACAAAGACACAUCACUAAAUUGUGCAUUAUGUUGGCUUUUAAUUGUUUGUGCACUCAAUAAUAGUCACAACAACAUGAAUAAAAUAAUAAACAAAUUAUAAAUAUAAAUACUAACUUGAAUAUUUGAAAAGGAGAAAUAAUCAAAAGGAAAGAAAGAAAGAAAAGGAGUAUAAAAAUAUAAAUGAAAAUAAAUAUAUUUCUAAAACUGGUAUUUUUUUUGUGAUCUGUGAGAUCUGAAAACCAAAUUCUAAUUCAAAUAGUAGGUUUGAAUUUAGUAAAGGAAAUUCAAAAUAAAACCAAAUGGAAAAUGAAAAAAAGGCUAACCUAAAUGGGCCUGCGGCACUCCCAUUUAGCCCAGCUCCCCUUUUAUACCCGCGCGGUCCACUCAGCCGACCAGCGCGCCUGGCUAAACCCUAGCCGCCAGGCUUCUCGCCGCGCCAUCCACUCCCUCCUCUCCACGACUGGUGUGUGGGCCCCGUUCGCCAGAUCGUAGUUGUGCGUGCCGCCAUGGCUGUUGCUGCAUCACGCGCACGUUGAAUCAUUGGCGACCACUGGAUUGUGGGGUCCGCUUCCCAGACUCUCGCAUGCCAAGUCGUUCUUCCUUCCCUGGAUGUUGCAUCGGGGCCAUUUUCCUCGCCGUUGUGGCCGCCUGUUGAUCAUCGUAGCCGUUCUCUCCCUGGCAUCUCGCGCCCUCAGCCCAGGUGUCCGCGCCUGACUCGAUCAUCGUCCCGGCGCGAUUCGCGGUCGAGCUCAACGAACUCCGCCAUGCGCGCAACCGACCGAACCAGGUGCCACCCGAUCUCCCUUCUCCGGCUGCAUAAACAUUGGACCACCUCCGCCUCUGUCAUGUGCUCGUCGUUCCGCGCUUCUCCCCUACCCAGUCCUACAUCCCUCCCCGUCUGCCAUCUUGGAAUCCCCUUGCUCCUACAUAAUCAUCAAGCCGUGACGCGCCGCCAGCGUGAACCACUCCAUCCCUGGCCAGUACCCACCUCGAGUCAAGCUUAACACUGCGUGACCACUCUUCCCUCUGGUGGUGACCGCGCGGACCGGUGCUCGCCGAGCUCCUAGAGGGACGUCUCGGCGUAGUACCACGCGCCAUCGUGGCCUGCAAUCCUUCCGCGUCGUUGACAACCGGCUCGCCUUAAUCAUGGUACCUCCCUCUGUGCUUGCUUUGAGCUCUGCUUUGUAUAGCGCUGUUCCUGGGUGGAGUUCGACGACCGGACUGGGGAUUUGGGGUGGCGGCACUGGGCAACGCCGCCGGGCGCUGUCGGGUGGAUGAAGGUGACACGGUGGCCUUCGAUCCUUAAUGGACAACUGUGAUUAAGUACCGCGUACAAGUUUGGUCAGAUUGUCUGGACACCGAUGGCGGGACUCCUGCGGUGGGUUGUGCCAUGGGCGCGUCCGCCUGUGCGACGUAAGCCGGCCCCAGCAAUGGCUUAUGGAGGAAAAAGCCGCUUGGCUGUGGGAUGGACAGUUCGCGGCCGAGAUCGAAUCGAUGAUACCCCUUUAUCUGAUAGAAUCUUAACCGUAGAUCUUGGAUCCGGCGAUCAGGAAGGAGUGCGGGAUAUUAGCUAGCUCAAAUCUAAUCGGAUCCGUCCACCUCAGAUCGGGCGGGCCAGAUUCGAGGAUACCCCUUCGGGCUGCCCAGUUUUCAAAAGAGCCCUCGGUUUUCUCUCAAAUAAACCCGCAGUCCGUCCUGUGGUUGCCUGUGUCUUAGUGCAAAUUGCGCCAGGGCCCCUGUAUUUCUGUUUAUUAGUGCGCCCAGUCCAGAGAGUUAGAAAAAUCAGAAAACAAAUAUAGAAUUGGAUUUUUAAUGUAGAAAUAAAUGCUAGAAUUGGUUUAAUUCAUAGAAAAUUCAUAUGUAGUCCAAAUUUAUCCAUUUCAGUUUCUAUAAUUUUGUAAUAAUGUUGUUUAUCACCCUGUGUCUCUGUUUUAACAUGAAAAUGGUAUUAAAAUUUAUUUCUUAAUUAACCUCGUAUCAAAUACAUAAAACCUUAGGAAAUUCGUAUCUCCUCCGCUUUAACUCCGAUUUGAUCCGUUCAAAGUUGCAUUAGUCUCGUAGCUUUGUGUAGAUCAUUGUUAUACAUUUUGUUCUUAUGUUUGGUGUGAUGUUAAUUUUAUCUAUACCAUGUUUGUUUGUAUUGCUACGACUAGCGCGAGGACACGUGUCAUCUGAAAAGCAAGUUGGUACUAGAAUCUCAAGUGCCAGGCAAGUUGUGCCCUUGAUUCACUUUGUUACCUAAUAAUGUUCUUUAUAAUCAUUUACCAUGCAUAGGUUUAAUUUUGAUGGGACCCAAUAGGUCACCCUAGAUUGUUUAUCCCAUUACCUUGUUUACCCCUGAAUCACAUGGGUAGUUUUUUCUAUUGCUUUAUAUGAUUUUGGGAUAAUCAUUUAUUAUAUCCAUGUUCCAGUUAUUAUGUUAUUUUAUUUAUGUUCAUGUCAAGAUCAUUAUAUUAUUGUUAAUUGGAACAUGGAGCUUAACUUGAGAAACACGUGCCACCACAAGGGUUUAAUGGGACGCCCUUGGCCAACUAACUAGGGAAGAUAGUGGAAGACUACCUUACCCGAAAGGGGCAAGGGCAGUAGGGGAGUGGUCAGUGUAGGGAGGUCCUUGGAUGAUUUUGCUGCGAUGGCGGUCAGACAAGAACCCUGCAUUGGAACUUCCUAUAAACUGUAGCGGGUUUUCGGAAGCUAGUGGAACUUUGUAAAGGCCUCGUAGUGGAUCCCUAGCCAUUCACCUCGGUAGUGUCUAAGGGCCUAGCUAACCCUGGCGACAUGGGAUACACGACUUGUGGGUAAAGGGUACAACCUCUGCAGAGUGUAAAACUGGUAUACUAGCCGAGCUCACGGUCAUGAGCGGCCCAGGACUCUCCGAUGAUUAAACUAUGGAACCUAAAUUCAAUUUUGUCAUUUGCAUAUGCAUGGGUUUAUUAUUAAUUUUGUUCUAUUAUGUUAUUAUGGUUUGGUAUUCACUUACACUUAGUAACUGCUAAUAAAAUUUUGACCAACUUUAAAAGCAAUGCUCAGCUUUAACCUUUCCCUUUGGUAAGCCUUACACCUUACAUGAUCUCCCACCUUUGUGAGUUCAUGCCACAUUAUUCCCCACAACUUGUUGAGCGAUGAACAUGUGUGAGCUCACCCUUGCUGUCUCACACCCCCCCCACAGGAGAAGAACAGGUGGUUCAGGAGGAGCCUCAAAGCGAGGAGUUUGAUCUGAUCUAGGUGGCGUUUCUCAGUAGACAUUGGCGCCGACGAUCCUUAGUUCAUUUUAUAUUUAUUCUUUUAUUUUGUAAUAAGUCUUCCGCUAUGUAAUAAAUACUCUGAUGUUUUGUGACAUUUAUCUCUAUACACUCUGUUAAAUAGCUGGGGCUGCGGGGAGAUCCUCGAUAGCAACCUCAGGAGCUUGCUCCUGGUCCUCCUCUUGGACAGUUCCUUGCUCGGGGAUGAGCACGUACUCUCCGUCGGCGAGAUUACAAUCUAAUGAAUGCAAUGCGUAAGAUACAUGCAUGAUAUGAUAUGUGCUUUAGUAAUUUAAACUUUUGAUGGUGUAUGAUCUACUUGAGUUAGAUAGAGCUAAAUCUUGCUUAUACGAGAUUUUUGGUGGUAUACUUGGUAAUUUGGAUCAAACUUAGCUAAGUUAAGUGGUAGGUUUAUUUUUGGGGUUCCACUGAAUUCUUUUUAAGGUCUUCAGUGAGAAUUGCCAAGAAUUCAAGUUGGACUUAUUGGAGUGAGGUUUAUCUUUCCUCUUUUUCCCUUGAUCUUCUUUAGGGUUUUAGGGUGGGUUUGAACUACAAGUCACCUUAAUAAAUUUCCAAAAAUUCUGUAAAAAUUACUGUGGCUUAUUACUGGUGUAUGACUCUCUGUCUCAAAAUUUAAGGUUCUAGAAGUGAAUAGUUUUCUCUGGACAAAAUUGCCAAAUUUUAGGGCAGAAGGGGUGAUUUGAACUACAACUAUCAUUCAAUAGUAGGUAAUUCUCUAGGACUUAUUUUUGCUGGCAUUUAGAUGCUAUAACAUGAAUUGGUACAAAUUUCUAGCCAUUAAUACUUAUUAGUUAUUUUACUAGGAUUUUCUAAAGUGUCUGGCCAAAGGGGUGCUUUCUACUACCACUAUAUUUGAAAAAUAUCAAACAACAGAUUUUUGAUUUUUCCUAGCUUCUUCUUUGCGCAAGAGCAAUCAUUCUAAAGUUUGGCAUCUUUUUGCUUAAGGGAAGGGGUGGUAUGCAUUAAUUGGAUUAAAUGGCCUUUUUUUAUAAAAUAUUGGCAACAUGUAUUAUGUUGCAUCUUUUCAAUGGCUUUGUAUUUUUCUCUGGUGGCCUAUCUCAUUAUUGAUCUAGCAAAAUUUUAUUUGCCCAUUAUUGCAUUAUUUUGGGUUACUCGUCAUUUAUUUGGAAUAUGACUCAUUAUCAUAUUAUUUUUAUUUACCUUACUUAAAAUGAUGGGCUUGGGUGUUCCUUAUUUUUGCAGUGGGGUUUUGGUGGUUACAAGUCCACUGGAUUUUUAUUAUCAAUUUUUGGGUCUGGUUUUAUAAUUCUAAUAAUUGAUUUCUAGUUGGAAUAAUGCUAAAUAAAACAUUUCACUUUGAAUCUAAUCUGGACUAGAGGUUCCUUUAUUUUUCCUAGGUUCUUUGUUACUUAAGCAAACUAGGAAAAAAUAAUUUUAUCCAGUGGUCAUUAAUUUCUAAGGCCUUUCUGAUUUUCCUAAUGUUUGGGCAAAAAUGGCUUUUAAUAGAUAUCUCCACUAAAUUUUUCAAUACUGGGGUUCUCACUAUUUUUAAACAGUGUUUAAUUGGGGUUUGAACAUCUACAAAUUUUCUUAGGUUCAGCACAGAAGCAUAACUAAUUUUCCUUAAUUAAACAAGGUUUGGUCAGUUUGUGUAUUUAAUUUUAAACUCUAAAAAUUAGAACAGAAAGCAUAGGGUUCAAUAUUUUUAAUUGAUAGUCCAUAAUAUUUAGAAUCUAGCAAAAUUGGUUUGACAAUUUUUGGUUAAGCAUUUCUUAAGUUAUGAAUUUCCUAAGUUCUCUGUUUAUUAAAAAGAUUAAACAGAAAUGAUUAAAUGGAAAACUACUUUGCAACUGGGUCCCUGGCGGGUGUUUUCAAGUUUCCUUACAGACUAGUCCCUAGGCUACUAUUCAAUUGAGUCACUGACAUCUCAGAAAACCCCCUGGAUUCUUCUAAUCCUAACCCGAGGUCCUUCCCCCAAUUUAAACAGUAUCCGCGGUGGAAGAAAGGGCGGAGGGGCUUACCGGCGGCGAGACUGCUCCGGUGAGGUGGUCGAGGGUGUAAGGGAGGUCCCGAGGGUCACGGCGAUGUGCGGGUCGCCGUCGGGGAUGGUCGGAGUCGGCCGGUCCGCGUGCGCAGGCGGGGGAGCUCGUCGGCGGCGAGGAGUUCGACCUAUCCAGGGCACAAUUGACUGAUUGAACGGGUUAGAGAGCUUCACUGGGUGCUAGGGAAGACAUGGUUGCAAGGAAUUUGACAAAGGCUUACAGGAGAGCUCGGUCCACGCGCGGGGGCGGGCGACCGAAGUCCGGCGAGGGUGAUCUUGGGCUUCUGGUGAAGUUCUGCCGGGUCCGAGGACUUGGAAAGCUUCACGGGCCAAUGGCGAAGCUAACCGAAGCGCUGGCGCGACUUGGACGCGACUAGAGAGAGCUAGCCACGGCGGCCGAGGCUCUGAAAGCUUGGCGAGCGGUGGCGCGGCGUGCUCGGGGCAAUUUCCGGUGAUCUCUGACUUGGGCAAGACUUGAGAGCACGCGGGGAUGAAUGGCCGAGGCUUGGUGCGGCUUUAUAGGCACGACGCGGUGCACGGGCGGCCGUGGACCGGCGAGCGCGCGCGAGCGUGCACUGGGAGGCGCGGGUGCGUGAACGGGCGUGAACCGAAGGUGUCAGCCACGGUCGAACACGUGUGCCUGUUGCCUCUACCCAAGUUCUAGCACUGAUUGGGUGCAAAUCUUCGCAAAUUUGGGCAAGAUCGCUGUGAAGGAUUUGUUCACCUGACCUUGCUUUGUCUUUUGUGUAUGGACGUCGCACGGUUUUAGGCUAGGGACAGGGAGUUGUAGCAUCACCAAGGUGCCAGUGUCAGAAUGUCUGGUCCCGAGGUCAAACUGCGCCAAAACCGUGUCAAAAAAUUUGAUUUGAGUUCAAACUUUUCCAGGGCGUGUUCAAGGGAAUUUGGCACAACUUUGAUAUUUGGAUCUCCUGGUUUUGAGUUUCGAAAAAUAGAGAACACAGUUGAUCCUUGGAAAGAGGUCUGAAAUUCAGAAAUUCAGAAAUCUGAAUUUCUCCAAGGGUUCAUGGUUCAAGGGCUGAUUUGGGAAUUUUAAAAAAAUAAAUGGCCAAACUCUCUUACUAUGAUUUGUUAGUUAUUUGAUGAACUAAAACUUUGUAAUUUGGUCAUAUCUAAAAUCUGCAUUUUCCCCUCAUGACUUCUCCCAAUUACCCUUUAUGCCUAACUUGGCUUACUUAGGAUUUAUUAGGGUUUGAGAGUCUUUCUCUCUCAAGGUUCAUGACAAGAUUAAGGAGAGUUUAAGAAGAUUCAUUAUAAACCUUUGCUCUAAAUUUUAUUUUGAUGUUCAACCCUUUACUAAAUUUACAUGUGAUAAUAGGUUGGGGUUAGCUUAGGGAAGAACCCUAGGUGACACUGGGGUGUCACAACCGGGGCCGACAAAAAUAAAGCUCCUAUUUUCGUCGGCCACCGAGGCCGACGCAAAUACCCAGCCUAUUUUCGUCGGCCUUAGGGAAGCCGACGAAAAUAGGUCAUUUUCGUCGGUACCGAUGAAAUAGUUGCCUAUUUUCAUUGAACAUAUUUUUGGUGGCUAUUUUCGUCGGCAUGCCGAUGAAAAUAGCCUAUUUUCGUCGGUUUACACUUAUUUUCGUGGGUUUUUGGCCCACGAAAAUUUAGGCGUUUCCUGUAGUGAGGGUACUUAACCCUAAACCAGGCUUAGGAGUGAUGAUAAAGCUCAAGCAUGAGAAAACUUCAAAACUCAUGAGAAAUAAUCAUAAGAUAUCACCAUUAAUGGACUUAAAUGACACUCAAACCCUAGAGUGCCAAAAACCCUAAAAAGAACCCUGGAAAACCCUGAGUUGAAACCCUAGGGGGUUAUAUGUAAAUUUUGCACACUUUGGACCCAAGUGCAAAAACCAAGAUAUUAGGGUACCCCAAAGCAUAAGGUUCACACAUUUGAGGAUUUGUAAGCCAAAUGAUAAAGUUUGGACCUAUUUGCAAAAAGGACACCCCAUGUACCUCAUAUGCCUAAGUGUAAAAACCAAUUGAAUGAGGCUGGCUUUGGAGCUCUACGUCUUUGGAUUCUUGAAGUUUUUGUUAAGGGUCAACACAUAAAACUUGUAGAGCUACUAUAGGAGUACAAAUUUUAUUAAGUACUUAAGCCUUGGUAUUGUACAAAAUUAGGAGUUAAAUGGGUCUGAAGUUUGGCUGUCAGGCUGAGAAUCUGUAUGGUUCAGAAAAACCAGUGGUACAGGGCCAACUUCAGGAUCAGGUGGAGCUCGAUUUAAUGGGUAAUUGGCUAAGACCUUUAUAGCAAGAUUAAAGUUGGAUUAUAGGGGAGUAACUUUGGUACAGUCUUCUUCUCUGGUUGUUGUACAAAAAUUAAUGAAACAAUAGCCCAAAGUUGCUCUGUCAGAACUGUGUUGAGAUACUAAAACUGAAUUCUAGAACAUGAAUGGUCACAGUGGAAUGGGGCCGAAUUGGAAGCGCCAUAUCUUUAAUUCCAUUCAGUUUUGUACCAAGGAUCCUAUAGUAAGUUUGAAGACUGAUGUUCAGUAAACAAUCUUUAUUAAUGGAGAUCACCUUGUUCUUAACACAAAUCAAAAGAAAAGGAGGGUGAAAGGGGGUCGGUUCAGAAAAGUGCUGAAGAUCAGGACACCGAAAUAUCUGAAAAAGCGAGGACAAAGAUUAGGGGCACUAUAGAAUCAGAUGUAUUUGAGUGAUUUGGGGUAAGAAUCGACCGCGGGGAGAUGGCGUCGGACGUGUCGCGAUCCCACAGACCUAGCCCGAGCCUAGCCGGAGAUAAUUCACCGGCGG